rnacentral:tRNA from 1 species
GGUCGCUUAGCUCAGUUGGUUAGAGCGUGGUGCUAAUAAUGUGACAAUCGCGUGACACGCCAAGGUCGCGAGUUCGACCCUCGUAGUGACCA